UACGGAGGGUGCGAGCGUUGUCCGGAAUUAUUGGGCGUAAAGAGCUCGUAGGCGGUUUGUUGCGUCGGCUGUGAAAACCUGAGGCUCAACCUCAGGCCUGCAGUCGAUACGAGCAGACUAGAGUGUUGCAGGGGAGACUGGAAUUCCUGGUGUAGCGGUGAAAUGCGCAGAUAUCAGGAGGAACACCGGUGGCGAAGGCGGGUCUCUGGGCAACAACUGACGCUGAGGAGCGAAAGCGUGGGGGAGCGAACAGG
rnacentral:rRNA from 1 species